UGAACGCUGGCGGUAUGCUUUACACAUGCAAGUCGUACGAGAGUUUUUAACUCAAGUGGCGGACGGGUGAGUAACACGUAAGAAUCUGCCUUUAGGAGGGGGACAACAACUGGAAACGGUUGCUAAUACCCCAUAUGCUUUCGAGUGAAAUGAAUUUAUUCGCCUAAAGAGGAGCUCGCGGCUGAUUAGCUUGUUGGUAGAGUAAUAGCCUACCAAGGCGACGAUCAGUAUCUGGUUUGAGAGGACGAUCAGACACACUGGAACUGAGACACGGUCCAGACUCCUACGGGAGGCAGCAGUAGGGAAUUUUCCGCAAUGGGCGAAAGCCUGACGGAGCAAUACCGCGUGAGGGAUGACGGCCUAUGGGUUGUAAACCUCUUUUUUCAGGGAGGAAUCAAAUGACGUGUACCUGAAGAAUAAGCAUCGGCUAACUCC
rnacentral:rRNA from 1 species